rnacentral:lncRNA from 1 species
UUAUGGUCACAACUUUACAACCUUACGUGGAGACUAUUCCAUGAGUCUGUCAAAUCGAUGUCAGAUUGUUGGUGAUUCGUGGGCAUGAGUGGUUAAACUAGCACUCCUUCCAUUGAUUAUUUCCGUCAGCGGCCGGGAACUAGUACUCACUAAUAGUGCAUCACGUGGAGACCUUUUGGAGAGGAUUUCGUCUUUGGCUGUUAUUUCUACUUGUACGGAUCGAGGAAAGUACUGCGCUCAUGCAUGACCGCGAUUCCUUUGCUGGAGCAUCUACAGCUCAACGACGGCGACUUGCGGCAG